GUUGUAGCUCAGUGGUAGAGUACUUGCCUUGCACAUGUGAGGCCCUGGGUUUGAUCCUCAGCACAACA
rnacentral:tRNA from 1 species